GAUUUUUUCAACUGUUAUUUUACCAAAUAGGAUUACAAAAAAGGCAUAUUUCCUCCUAUCUAGACCGUUCCGGAGGCGAGCGGAAAGGGACAAAUCCGAGGCAAAAAUUUGUGUAAUGAAGUUUUCCUUGAUCAUCCUGGAACAUCCGGCUUGGUGUUCCUGCCCCCCAGAGGAUGUGCUGACGGGAAGUGGCGAUGUUUUGGCGGCGAAAAUGACGGUGUACGGAUGGAAGGAUUUAAAGUUUUGGGCAUCAAGACCAGCAGUAAUGGAGUGUUCGCUAGGUUGCAGGUCCAGGAAAAGUAUUGGGCGUAAUAGGUUAUGUAUAAAGUGCAUUAAUUAUCAAAUAAUAAAUUGUUUCCAGUUGUA